UUCACCUUAUCAGAGAGAUCAUAACCCGAGGAGAUGUAGCAGUGGAAAGAGUUCCAUCCGAAGAUAACAUUGCAGAUCCACUGACAAAGCCGUUGUCUCAGAUUGUCUUUGAGCGUCACAGGGGUCUGAUGGGGAUCAGACACAUAGGUGAUUGGCUUUAGGUCAAGUGGGAGAUUGCUAGUCAUAGGUGCCCAGCAAGCCAAUCACGUGAGUGAUGGCACGUGUGACUUGAUACAGAAUCUUUUUGCUUAUUAUAUUUUGGCGUAUAUCACUUUAUAACUAUUGCAUAAAUGCAUAUAUAUAUAUAUUGUGAUGUACUUGGAUUUGUGCAAUGGGAAUCGGAUCGUGA
rnacentral:lncRNA from 1 species